rnacentral:rRNA from 1 species
AUUGAACGCUGGCGGCAGGCUUAACACAUGCAAGUCGAACGAGUGGCGGACGGGUGAGUAAUGCUUGGGAAUCUAGCUUAUGGAGGGGGAUAACUACUGGAAACUGUAGCUAAUACCGCGUACCAUAGGAUGAGCCCAAGUGGGAUUAGGUAGUUGGUGAGGUAACGGCUCACCAAGGCGACGAUCCCUAGCUGGUCUGAGAGGAUGACCAGCCACACUGGAACUGAGACACGGCCCAGACUCCUACGGGAGGCAGCAGUGGGGAAUAUUGCGCAAUGGGGGCAACCUGACGCAGCCAUGCCGCGUGAAUGAAGAAGGCCUUCGGGUUGUAAAGUUCUUUCGGUAGGGAGGCGUUAACUACAGAAGAAGCACCGGCUAACUCCGUGCCAGCAGCCGCGGUAAUAC